AUUGAUUCGUAAACCGAGUAACUUGUGAGACGGCGUAGUUAUACGGCAUCAAAGAAAGACCAAAGCUGUUUUCGAAUAAUUUGGUAUUUGCCUGCAGGAAAAACAAGGAAAAGUGCUUACCUUUUUAAAUCUCAAAAACAAAGUAUAUACAAUAAACACAAACCUUACGAUCGGCAGCAGUAUUUGUACUGGACCCAGCUUGAGAAAUGACGGAGACUUUUCGUUGACGCCUAUGUCCGUGGUUGCUGUUGUGAUUGUGGUUGUGGUGUCGUUGCGUGGUCACGACGCUACAUGUGCCUCCCGCCUCCUGGGGGGCUAGGUGGCCCACCCCCACCCCCACACCACCCUGGCUACCA